rnacentral:rRNA from 1 species
AUUGAACGCUGGCGGCAGGCCUAACACAUGCAAGUCGAGCGGAUGAAGGGAGCUUGCUCCUGGAUUCAGCGGCGGACGGGUGCGUAAUGCCUAGGAAUCUGCCUGGUAGUGGGGGAUAACGUCCGGAAACGGGCGCUAAUACCGCAUACGUCCUGAGGGUGAAAGUGGGGGAUCUUCGGACCUCACGCUAUCAGCUGAGCCUAGGUCGGAUUAGCUAGUUGGUGGGGUAAAGGCCUACCAAGGCGACGAUCCGUAACUGGUCUGAGAGGAUGAACAGUCACAGUGGAACAGAGACACGGGACAGACUACUAGGGGGGGAAGGAGGGGGGAAUAGGGGAAAAGGGGGGAAAGCAUGAAACAGGCAUGCCGGGGGGGGGAAGAAGGUCUUAGGAUUGAAAAGCACUUUAAGUGGGGAGAAAGGGAAGUAAGUUAAUACCGGGGGGUUGAGAGGAGACAAAAAGAAAAAGCAGCGGAAAAAUGCG